rnacentral:tRNA from 1 species
GCGGGAGUGCCGGAGUGGUCAAACGGGCUAGCUUCAGGGGUUAGUGGCUUAGUGCCUACGCAGGUUCGAACCCUGUCUCCCGCA